UGCCGGCGGCUUCCAGCGAGGCCGAGCCCCCAGGGGCGCUCCCCGCUCCCCGAGGGCUGCGGCGGGGACGGCAGCGGGACAGCGGCGGGACAGCGGCAACAGACCGUAGUUUUCUUGGAGCUCCACAGUCUCCUCUCUUUGAAGUUGGACAGAUACAGUAAACACAACAAAUAUAUGAUACAACCCAUCACAGCUGGAUUAAAAAAAAAUACACAAAAAAUAUAAUACAUAAAAAAAAUGGAUUUUUAACAUUGUGGACUGACGCAGCUCUAAAAAUGGUGAUUGUAACCCUGGUAAGCUUUACAAAGUCUUUAAAAAAAUAAAACAGUACUUCAUGUGAAAUUCAUAAAUACACUGGAGGCGAACGGAGGGGCUGGGGGAGUUGAGAAAGUGUCUCUGGGAUCAUGACUAAACCCCAGCCAGGGCUGCUGGGGGCAGCAGUCUGUGUGCGUGGGGUGCAGGGUGAGCCCUGGGCUCGGUGCAGGCAGGAGGGAGGGAGGGAUGGAGGCACAAACCGGUCCAGUUAACAAAGAGCUUCGUCCCCCAUCAGGGCUGGGAGUGGGCACACGCCUGUGGUUUAUGGUGGGGGAGUUUUGAGUUUUCAUUCCCAGAGUUUUAGAUCAGUGAGUGAAACAGAAGGAAAAAAAAAAAAACAAAAAAAAACCAAAAAAAACAAACCCCAAAAACCUACAAAACAACAAACAAACAUGCUACAUAUGAGAACUUGGCCAGAGAGGCCCAGCACAGCCCUGGCAUGGUUUGCCAGUGCCUGGCCUUGGAUUUUUCCCUCUUUCUUUCCCUCCCUGCUCCGUCUGCCCUGCUCACUGAGCCUGGCCCGGGGCUGGGAUGGCUCUGCUCCUUCCCUCAGGGAUGGGUGGCUUUUCCCAGCAGCAAGAGGUCGAAGUCCCCAUGCCUCACAGGACACGUGGCAUCAAGGCAGCAGCCAAGGCACCUUCCUGAGCUCUGGGGCUGUUCCUGCUCCCUGCACUGAGCCUGACCCUGCCCUGUCCCCCUCCCAAAGCAGCCGCAGUGCCCCUCAAAACACUCCUGCCUCCUUCCCACUGCCUUCACUCCCCUGCCAACAUGAGAAACCCAUCCAGACCUGGCCACCCCGGGCUCUCUGUCCCCCUGCCAGCCUCCUGCCACCCUGCUCCCCUCCACUUCUGUCCCUCUGUGACCCUCCUGCAGCCCGGGGUUGCUUUCCCCAGACUCUGCCCUUGCAGUUGCAGCCUCAGGACUGGGCACUCUGCCUUGGUUUACUUUGGGCUGCAGCCACAAAAAUACCUCCAAGCUGACCCAGUCCCUUCUCCUGGCUCCCCUCCUGGUCUCUGUCCCCUCUCUGUCUCUGUCCUUUCUGUCCCAAACUCUUGGCCCUGCAUUGCUCAAUGUUUUUCCCUGCACCUCCCUGGCCACUUCCCGCAGGAUGCAGGAGAGUGGCUGGAGCAGUUUGGAACAGUCAUCGCAGAAAAAAGGCAAAAAAAAGGUGAAGGAACAAAAAAAAAAAAAAAAAAAAAGAAACAAGGAAAAUGUACAUACACAAAAUAAAUCAGGCAAUCUGCCCUCACUGCUCUGUACUCAUGACUCCCCAGCAAGCAGCCACAGUGGGGACACUGAGCCUGGGCCAGCCCCAAGUGCAAUUCCUGAACACAGCACAAGGAAUCCCCCACAAAACCCAGCCAGAGACGGAGGCACCCCAAACCUUUCCCUAAACAAGACACUUCCCAUGCAGGGUGGGAGGGCAGCCCCUGGGCACUGCAGAGGGCCGUCAGCCUGAUUACAAGCAUGGUGUCUUUUUAAAAAGUAUUAAAAAGCACUUUCAUUAAAAAGAAGAAAAAAAAAAAAAA